rnacentral:lncRNA from 1 species
CCACGAGUCCCUCAUUCAGUACUUAAUUGAGGGGGGUUUCCAGUCGAUGGACUCCAACUACACUUCGCCUUCAAAAGCAUCUGUACAGAGGGCAUCAGCUUCCAGCGGGGAUCCAACCGUUCAACUACAUGUGGGAGGUUGGCGUCGGCCCUGACCUGGCUAUGCAUCGUAGGUACGUUAUGCUCUAUGAAGACCAGUGACCAUGGACGUUUCUCUCCUCCACCGGAUACAUCUGAGGUGAGGUGGUCAUCACUAUUUAAUGGAAACUAUGGUUAUUGUAGCUGUGGUUUUAUGCUAGUGUUCCAUCAUGAAGGUACAACUUUACAUCACAGGAUUUAACAUUGAGCCAGUUUGGUACAUUUGAAAUCCUAUCGAGGGACGCCAAGACGCUGGAAGUUCAGCAUGCCUCUACCAAAUGCUGCCUCAUCACAACUACUGAGCUGAUCUGCGAGACUAGGUGGGGGCACUAGAUAUUGGUGUCGGUCGUGUUUCAGGUCCUCUUCAUUGCAGUUGUGCUGAGUAUCUGACUUCUCCAAUCAUUGCAAUCUGAUUAUUGGAUGAUGUUGGGGCACAUUGGAUGACAUUGCAUCUGGUACGAUCUGAUGUCACUUCUCUCCAGUGUCUUCCACAGAAGAGGCGAAGACUGAUGACAAACAGGACUCUGGCCAUCAUUGGUGCAGAACCUCCCUCCUGGACUCCACCUGCAGGCCCCAAGAGACAGUAUACACCCACCAGGGAUCUCUAACUUUGGACUCAACACCUGUGAAACAAAGUCAUGGCAGGGUUCAAAGUCUCUAGGCUAGUAGUGGCUUUGUCCCAAUAGUAUAUUUGGAUUAAAUUGAUUGGCCAUGUGACUACCAGUGUGAAUGGGAUCGUGUUCUACAAGCAAUACUCACCCGAAGACGGGUCUGUCGUCACCCAGACAUCUUAUAGGUAUGGCUCUACAUUUUGUAACACCCCUUUGACGAGUCUAAGGUGCACACUAUCGGAUUUGUCAAUAGAAACAUUGGCAUCUGGUCCUAAAGGAGCUGUGCUACUAAGCAGUGUCCCACUCACCCCAUUGUAUGCUGAUGGGAUAUGUCAUUUACUUUCUGAAUGACUGGAAUUGUAAUGUGACUACAAAACCAGUCAUUGAGCGCUUUAGCUUUUGUUCUAGUCAAUCUUAAUGUGUUUUUGAAGUUUGAAAGUCCAAUAUCUCAGGAUCUUUGAGGGAGAUCCAGUCACUCUUGGUGACCAGGUUCCAAUGAAAACUGAGUCUUCAGUAAAUAGCUGUGUUCCUGAUGAAAUUAACCUUUUUUUUUCUUCAGUUUAGCUUUGCCAGUGGCUAGACUCCUGUUGGGAUUCCUCUGACGAUGACACUGACUACAAAGUAUCCUGUUACAAUCUGCUAAAUUAAUUUGGGUCCCCUGGCCACACCCAGCAAUUUAAACUAGCAUUGAAUCAAUACUUUUUUUUCUUCUAUUUAAAAUGAAUAAAUUGUUGGCUCUUGAAGACUUCAUCCAGUACCUUUGUUUUUAAAAGCAAUAUACCAAGCUUAACUGCAGACUUCAAGGAGUUGGUCUGAUAGACUUAGUGAUGUCAUUGGAGUCAAUUUUUCAUGCAAGUUUCGUGCAGCUGUAUAAAGAUACUAUAUUAAGUUGUGCUGCCUGUGUAAACACAGCCCAAUUAUUUUCCAGUGACUGUGUCCAAUAAUAGGGUAAAAGAUGACUGCCUGUGUAAAUGCAGCCUUUGCACAGGGAUAUUCAACUCAUACCCUACGAGGUCCAAUGCCUGCUGGUUUUGUUCUGCUAAUGAAUUGCACCCACCUUGUGUCCCAGGUCGGGGGCGCAGUGGAACUGCCUUCAAGGUCCAGUUUUGAAUUUGAGGGACUUACAGCAUCCAAGAAUGUGUUUACUUGUUUUGAGCCCUUUUCUCUAGGCUUAAAAUUAGCUGUCAAAUGGUGCAGCGAUUACAUGACUGCUACUUGGACAAUUCAAAUAGUGUUACCCAACAUUAUAGCAAAACCCUUAGCAUGCUCAUUGUGAAGACAUGGAAAUAAAA